UGUUCUGUCUCUGCCUUUGGUUUCUGCGAGUUGUCGGAGCCCUCUGCCACCGGGAACCAACAUUCGAGCUGCCCAGGAAACCACCAUUAGAACCACUACUAUUUUGCUGCCACCGAGGUCGUUGGUGCUUGUCAAGAGUGCUAUUCUGGUUCUGAAUUGAUUAGUUCUUGCCACUGCUGCUGCUGAGAAGUGAUCAGAAAUGCCACUGCUGUUAGUUCGGUUCAAGGAGGUUGUUGCCACUGCGAAUUAAAAAUAAAAGAAGGCUGUGUUGUGUUUGAUUAUCGAAUUCCGGCUAAUCGAGUGACACAGGUUCGAAGACUCUGUUUGGAGCUGCGGGCAAUUAUAGAACUUGUUUACGAG